rnacentral:lncRNA from 1 species
GGAGGAUAAUAGGAGAAUUCUAUUAAACUUGAAAACUUGACUUGUUACAAAUGGCUAGAGUUCAUGUGGUAUUUAUAGGAUUUUCCCAACAUGAAUCUAGUCUAGUACAUGUAUCACCAUUUAAUUUAAUUCUUCCCCUCUAACUAGUACAUGAACUUUAAUUAAAACCAAAUACAUGAAUAAGCUAAUACAUGAAUUAACCUUCUAGAAUAUUCCUUAAUACACUUAAUUUAGUUUAUUAUUUCAACA